AUGUCUCCUUUUUUUCAAGAUGCUCUUCUGAUAAUGGCCAUUUCAAGGAUUCGCUUUUUUUUGGUCAAUAUUCAUACUGACCAACAACUGAAACAAACAAACAAAAAAUUAUUUAUGGGGGGUUGUCUCACUAUGUUGCCCAGACUGCAGAGCACUUUAACACUGGUCAUUCACGGGUGUGAUCUCACUACUGAUCAGCAUGGAAGUUUUGACCUGCUCUGUUUCUGACCUAGAUUGGUUCACUCCUCUUUAGGUAACCUGGUGGUCCCCUGCUCCUGGGAGGUCACCAUAUUGAUGCUGAAUUUAGUGCAGACACCUGAUGGGCAUAGCACACUACAGCCCAGAACUCCUGAGCAUAAGGGAUCCCACUGCCUCAGUCUCCUGAGUAGCUAAGACUACAGGUGGGCCUCCACCGCCUGGCUGGUAUUCACAUUUUAAUCAUGGUCCUUCUAUGACUCUUUUACCUUCCAUAUUGAUUGGCUUCUUGUCCUGGCUUUAAAUUUCUCUCUCUCUCUCUCUUCUGCUUAGUAGUCAGUGUCACCAGCAGAUAUGGAAAGUCUGCUCAAACUUAAUGUGGCAGACAAGAAGGGAAACAGGGAGAGCAGGAUACAGAAGCCACAGGCUGGAGUAGAGAGAAUUAGCUGGCAUCUAAUUCUGAGGGGAAUGUCUGGAGAGUAGGAUAUAAGGAACAUGGUCAGAAGCACCCAAGCACUUUGGCAAUGCCUGGCACGUUAGGCAGAACAUAAAGGCCAAACACACCUGGCAUGGUGGCUCAUGCCUGUACUUUGGGAGGCCAAAGUGGGAAGAUCACUUGGGCCCAGGAGUUCAGGACCAGCCUGGGCAACAUGACAAAACCCUGUCUCUACAAAAAAUACAAAAAUUAGCUGGGCAUGGUGGCAGACACCUGUGGUCCCAGCUACUUGGGAGGUUGAAAUGAGAGGAUCACCUGAAGCCGGGAAGCCGAGGGUGCAGUGAGCUGUGAUUGCACCACUGCACUGUAGCCUGGGUGACAGACAGACCCUGUCUCAAGAAAAAACAAACAAAAAAAAGCCGAACAGGUGAGUCAGAAUACAAGGCGACAGCAGCCCCCUGUGAAUUUGGAGGAAUAGGACAAGAGGUGAAAUAGAGAGCAAUGCUUUUCAUUCUCUACGUUUGGACAUGAACAGUUGGAGCAGGACUGCCUUACAUGUCAAAAAAACAUUUUAGUCUGGGUGCCAUGCUUCACACCUGUAAUCCCAGCACUUUGGGAGGAUGAGGCAGGAAGAUGUUUUGAAGCCAUGAGUUUGACUACCAGCCUGGGCAAUGUGGCAAGAUCCUCUUUCUAAAAUAAAUAAAUAAAUAAAUAAAAAUUAGCUGGGCAUGAUGACCUGUAGUCUCAGCCACUCUGGAGAGUGAAGCCAGUGCACUCCAGCAUGGGCAACAGAGAGAGGCCCUAUCUCAAAACAAAAACAAAAACAAAACAAAAAAAAGAAAAUAAAAUGAAAACAGCAUUUUAAUAAUAUGCUGUACUAGUGCUUAAGAGUACAGGCUCUGGAGAUGGAUUCAAUAUCCAACCCUGCCACCUACUGUAUAACUCUGAACAAGUGACUUAACCUCUCUUAGUUUCAGCAUCAACUAUGAAAUGGUGAUAAUACUCAUAAGAUGAAUAAACACAGAAAACCUAGCAGUAUAUGAAUAGAGGUCAAUAUUCUUGUUGUUGUCAUUAUUAUUUACUAUUAUUAAAAUAAUGCUACCUACAGUAGUUAGCUGACAAACAGGAAAAACUGCCAGAAAAGAAAGCAAAUAAAUAAUGGGAAAGCCUUUCGGUUUUUCUUUUUUUUUAGGGUGAUCUGAAAGUGAAUGGAAAGACACAUUUCCAGUA
ensembl:lncRNA